UACGGAGGGGACUAGCGUUGUUCGGAAUUACUGGGCGUAAAGCGCACGUAGGCGGAUUUGUAAGUCAGGGGUGAAAUCCCGGGGCUCAACCUCGGAACUGCCUUUGAUACUGCAAUCUCGAGUCCGGAAGAGGUGAGUGGAAUUCCUAGUGUAGAGGUGAAAUUCGUAGAUAUUAGGAAGAACACCAGUGGCGAAGGCGGCUCACUGGUCCGGUACUGACGCUGAGGCGCGACAGCG
rnacentral:rRNA from 1 species